UCGUAUGGUGACAAGUCUCGUUAAUUCAGUAAAACGAGCGCGAUCUUAGUUGUAUAGAGAAAGUCUUUGAUUUACUUUUUAGUAUUUUGAUUUCUUUUCUCCAUCGGUUAAAUUUUUUUUAUUUAUU
rnacentral:rRNA from 1 species